UACGGAGGGUGCAAGCGUUAAUCGGAAUUACUGGGCGUAAAGCGUGCGCAGGCGGUUUGUUAAGUCCGCUGUGAAAUCCCCGAGCUCAACUUGGGAAUUGCAGUGGAUACUGGCAAGCUGGAGUAUGGUAGAGGAAGGUGGAAUUCCCGGUGUAGCAGUGAAAUGCGUAGAGAUCCGGAGGAACACCGACGGCGAAGGCAGCGCCCUGGACACGACCUGACGCUCAGGCACGAAAGCUCGGGGAGCGAACAGG
rnacentral:rRNA from 1 species